rnacentral:rRNA from 1 species
GACAGAGGGCGCAAACGUUGUUCGGAAUUACUGGGCGUAAAGCGCGUGUAGGCGGUUAUGCAAGUCGGGUGUGAAAGCCCGGAGCUCAACUCCGGAAGUGCAUUCGAUACUGCGUAGCUAGAGUACUGGAGAGGAUGGUGGAACUCUCGGUGUAGAGGUGAAAUUCGUAGAUAUUCGCAAGAACACCAGUGGCGAAGGCGGCUCACUGGCCCGGUACUGACGCUGAGGUGCGAAAGCGUGGGGAGCAAACAGG